AAAGUCACGCGGAUGCGGCCGAGCCCCCGCGGGAGAGCACGUCUGCGGGCGUCUCCUCGGGUUUACCUGCACCGAGCCCGCCGCUUGUUGUGCUUGAAGGAUGCACCUUGAUUAAGGUGGCCACACGCGGGUUGGCACUGAAAUGUGCACGCGGACACCUGUCCGCCCGGGGGACGUCUCCCAGCCGCGGAGCUGGGCGAAGGGGGCGGCGGGUAGGCCGCGAACUCUCCCGGAGGCGCGUUUCUCUCCACCCCCCGCCCCCGCGGACCCCGCAGGCACCACCGUCUCAUGUCCUCGCGCCCCGCGGGCGCCAGGCCCCGAUGCCCCGAAGAACCCUAGAGGUGAUUCCGCCCGGGACAACAGCCCCCGUUCCCGGGAGUGGGACACCCUCCCUCCACCCCGGGAACAGCUCCUAGACGACCCCUCUGUGCACUCCCCCAGGUUCCCCAUCCGACACGGUGGGGAGUGGGCCGGCACCUCGCCUUCUCAGCCCGCCCCCGGCGCCGGCGCGGGGAACUGCGCGCCCCUCCCCGAAGUCAGCACCCACCCGCGGGGCGGCUGGCGGGCGGCCGCCCUUUUAAAUCCCCGGGCUCAUUUGCAUGGCCCCGCCCCCUCGGUGACACGGCUGGCGCGGGCGGGCCCGUCCCCCCUGCCCCUGGGUCGCUCUUUUUAAGCUCCCCUGAGCCGGGGCUGCGCUCCUCUAAUUGGGACUCCGAGCCCGGGCUAUUUCUGGCGCUGGCGCGGCUCCAAGAAGGCAUCCGCAUUUGCUAC